rnacentral:misc_RNA from 1 species
AGGAUAUGAAAAUAGUACAACUUGUGUACACAUAGGAAAUUCUGAUUUCUUUCUACUUGAGAGAACAGUUUUCCGAUGUCUCGUACUGGGAAUAAAAGAUGCAUGUGGAGGGGCAAGCGCGUAGAAGGAUCGAAGGACUGCUGAGUCAGUAGUAGCUGGCUAGCUGUUAAAAAUAAAGUGCCAAGGUGCUUUCGUCUUUUCUCCCAGACUUUUUAAGAUAUCUCUUAAAUCCGGCUGGGAAGAGUGUACAAAGCUUGCAAUCAUUUCUACUCACGGAUUUCAGCGAAAUACUCUACCAACUCUGAAUUUUUACAAAAAAGUUUCCAAGAAAAUACUUUUUGGAUUACAUUUUUCUGAUAUUGUACUCUUCAAGUUGGAUUCCGUAAGUACUAGUUAUAUACAUUUAGUGCUAAUGAGUGCUGGUGAGUUUUUGACAAUUGACGGUUUUAGCUGUCAUGUCCGAAUUCCCUUUUUGACAGCUGUCAAAAACCUAAAAUUUUUGUAUAUUCGUAAGGAUAAUUAUUUGCGAUUAAAAAUAUGAUGUAUUUAUGUAUAAAUAUAAAUAUUAAAUUGCAGGUGAAAAAUCAAUUAUGUUCUUGAAUUAUUUUGACAUUAAAUUCUCUUUUGGUUUUGACUAAUUACUGUCAAAAACUGAAAUUUUUUUUGUAGAAAAUAUUAAAUAAUUUUGAAUGAAAAUGUGUAAAAAUGCAAUUUAGCCUAUCCAUCAACUUGUUUAAAUAUUGAAAAUAAUAAUACAAAAACAAUCAUCAUUUAAAAAAACGCACAACAAGCAUGAUUAGCUAUCACUGUAAAAUCACUUAUUCAUUUAUGUAAAACCAAUUUUCAUUUACUCCCAUUUUAACCCUCCCCUCCUUCCUUAAAUCAGACAAUUCCUCCUCCCCCCGAAAAAAAAGAAGAAAUUAUAUAAAAAAAAAACGUGAAUAAGACCGAAAUUCGAAACUAUUCCUUUGUUUGAUUUUGA